GGAUCCGUAGCUCAGCUGGAUAGAGCGUUGCCCUCCGAAGGCAAAGGUCGUGCGUUCGAAUCGCAUCGGGUCCACCA
rnacentral:tRNA from 1 species